rnacentral:rRNA from 1 species
CCUACGGGGGGCAGCAGUGAGGAAUAUUGGUCAAUGGGCGAGAGCCUGAACCAGCCAAGUCGCGUGAAGGAUGACGGCCCUACGGGUUGUAAACUUCUUUUGUCAGGGAGCAAUUGAGUCCACGUGUGGGCUUAGCGAGAGUACCUGAAGAAAAAGCAUCGGCUAACUCCGUGCCAGCAGCCGCGGUAAUACGGGGGAUGCGAGCGUUAUCCGGAUUUAUUGGGUUUAAAGGGUGCGUAGGCGGAAUAUCAAGUCAGCGGUAAAAAUUCGGGGCUAAACCCCGUCGUGCCGUUGAAACUGAUGUUCUGGAGUGGGCGAGAAGUAUGCGGAAUGCGUGGUGUAGCGGUGAAAUGCAUAGAUAUCACGCAGAACUCCGAUUGCGAAGGCAGCAUACCGGCGCCCAACUGACGCUGAAGCACGAAAGCGUGGGUAUCGAACAGGAUUAGAUACCCGAGUAGUC